UACAGAGGUCUCAAGCGUUGUUCGGAUUCAUUGGGCGUAAAGGGUGCGUAGGUGGUGAGGUAAGUCGGAUGUGAAAUCUCCGGGCUCAACCCGGAAAUGGCAUUGGAAACUACCUUGCUAGAGGAUUUGAGGGGGGAUUGGAAUACUUGGUGUAGCAGUGAAAUGCGUAGAUAUCAAGUGGAACACCAGUGGCGAAGGCGAAUCCCUGGAAAAUACCUGACACUGAGGCACGAAAGCUAGGGGAGCAAACAGG
rnacentral:rRNA from 1 species